GAUGAACGCUGGCGGCGUGCCUAAUACAUGCAAGUCGAGCGAACAGAUAAGGAGCUUGCUCCUUUGACGUUAGCGGCGGACGGGUGAGUAACACGUGGGUAACCUACCUAUAAGACUGGAAUAACUCCGGGAAACCGGGGCUAAUGCCGGAUAACAUUUAGAACCGCAUGGUUCUAAAGUGAAAGAUGGUUUUGCUAUCACUUAUAGAUGGACCCGCGCCGUAUUAGCUAGUUGGUAAGGUAACGGCUUACCAAGGCAACGAUACGUAGCCGAACUGAGAGGGGGAUCGGCCACACUGGAACGGGAACACGGUCCAGACUCCUACGGGAGGCAGCAGUAGGGAAUCUUCCGCAAUGGGCGAAAGCCUGACGGAGCAACGCCGCGUGAGUGAUGAAGGUCUUCGGAUCGUAAAACUCUGUUAUUAGGGAAGAACAAAUGUGUAAGUAACUGUGCACGUCUUGACGGUACCUAAUCAGAAAGCCACGGCUAACUACGUG
rnacentral:rRNA from 1 species